rnacentral:misc_RNA from 1 species
GCAAACUUGGUCAUUUAGAGGAAGUAAAAGUCGUAACAAGGUUUCCGUAGGUGAACCUGCGGAAGGAUCAUUACAGUUAUUAUAUUCUGCCAGCGCUUAAUUGCGCGGUGGGAAAUAAUCCUUACACACUGUGUUUUUUGUUAUUACAAGAACCAUUGCUUUGGCUUGGCUUAGAAAUAAGUUGGGCCGAAGGUAUACUAAAACUUCAAUUUUUUUAAUUGAAUUGUUAUUUAACUAAUAUUGUCAAUUUGUUUGAUUAAUUUCAAAAUAAUCUUCAAAACUUUCAACAACGGAUCUCUUGGUUCUCGCAUCGAUGAAGAACGCAGC